GCAACAGGUUAUGUUACAAUAGCAGGACUGCAACAGUGAGUGUCUUUCCUACCACAGCGGGAGGGAAAGGCUGGAAGAACACAAGUAAGAAACAGGAGGCCCAGGGACUUAAAAGCCAAACCUCAGAGGAAAGAAAACCAAAGGGAUCCAGAGUCUGAAGGGAGUGGUGAUUGGAACCCCAAAGACAACCUGUGGGAAAACUAUGCGCAUGACAGCUGUAUGGGAAACACGGAAGCAACACAUGCCACAGCCAGGAACCAGGGAGCUCCUGGCGAAAAGAAGGGAAAGUGAUGAGCAAAGAGUAGGCGAACCAUUUGGAAAGGUGAUGAGGGUGGAGCUGGUGGGUUGCAAACAACAGGGAGAGCACAAAUUGGAACGGGAAGAAGCAGGGUAGAAAAAGCUGGGGAAGUCAAAGGGGACGGGGACCUAGAACCCAAUCCCAGGCAAGGACCCUGAGGGCGAUAACCAGGGACUGGGACUGGGAGAACCGGUGCGGGUGGAAGGGAAGCAAGGCCAGGCAGACGCUGAAAGAGAUGGACAAAUCGCGUGGCAAAUCGCGGGGUGUUAUUCGAGGAGCGGGAGAGUGGCUGCUUUAAGCGUGGGUGGAGGAAGACCAGAAAGGCCCCUGAGAGAAAAAGGGAAGAGAAGGGGAAGCUGGGGAGGUAACACGGAAGAGCGCAGGAGAGCGGUGGUGAGGGGACAGGGGUUGGCAGAAAGACAAGUGUGCAGCUCCGAGUCAAGACAAGCCGGCCGCCUGCCUCGCUCCUCCCCUGCCCUCAGCGGCACUGCUCCGCGCCCGGCACACAGGCAGCCGCCGCCGGACCUGCUGCUCCCAACAUGGCCGCCACCACCGCCGGCCCUCGGCUCUUUCCGCCUGCUGCAGCCGGAAACAUCCGAAGCGUCUAGGAAAGGGAGGGGGACGUGCCUUCUCCUCUCUGCCACCGACUAAGGAUAAAUUCCGGAAACAACCGAAGAAGGUAACCCCCGGGGACGCGCGCGCCUCUUCGAUUCCGAAAACCGAGCUUCGGCUCUGUUUACGGAAACCCACGAAGUGACUCCGGGCACUCCUGAACCACCCGCCACGCCCACCGACCUUUCCCCGCCCACUUCGAGCUGGCUUUCGGCAGUUUCCGGAAACACCCGAAGCGGCUCCGCGUGCUGCGCGGGUCACGCCCCCAUCCCUCAGCUCAGCCGAGGGCGGUCGUCGGCCAUUUCCGGCAACACCCGAAGGCCUGCCGAGCCCCGGGUUAUUUCCCUGUGUAGUACCAGGGUCUUACUCUUCGUUUCUUUCCGUCAGUUUUUGGUUAUUUUCAAAUCUUGAACAGAAAGUGUGGGUCACCUGUGCGUAUUAUUGGACCGAAUAGAAAAUAAAGCUAUUACCCAACCCACGAUUGGCAUA